AUCGGAAAGAAACCCCGGGACGUGUCCCGGGUUGACGGUACCGAUGGAAUAAGCACCGGCUAACUUCGUGCCAGCAGCCGCGGUAAUACGAAGGGUGCAAGCGUUAUCCGGAUUCAUUGGGUUUAAAGGGUGCGUAGGCGGAACAAUAAGUCAGCGGUGAAAGCCCGCAGCUUAACUGCGGAAUUGCCGUUGAUACUGUUGUUCUUGAGUACGUUUGACGUGGGCGGAAUGUGCCGUGUAGCGGUGAAAUGCUUAGAUAUGGCACAGAACACCGAUAGUGAAGACAGCUCACGAAGACGAAACUGACGCUGAGGCACGAAAGCGUGGGGAUCAAACAGGAUUAGAUACCCUGGUAGUCCACGCCGUAAACGAUGAUCACUCGUGAUUGGCGAUAUACUGUCAGUCACCUAGCGAAAGCGUUAAGUGAUCCACCUGGGGAGUACGAUCGCAAGAUUGAAACUCAA
rnacentral:rRNA from 1 species